rnacentral:rRNA from 1 species
GAUCCUGGCUCAGGAUGAACGCUAGCUACAGGCUUAACACAUGCAAGUCGAGGGGCAGCAUGGUCUUAGCUUGCUAAGGCUGAUGGCGACCGGCGCACGGGUGAGUAACACGUAUCCAACCUGCCGUCUACUCUUGGCCAGCCUUCUGAAAGGAAGAUUAAUCCAGGAUGGCAUCAUGAGUUCACAUGUCCGCAUGAUUAAAAGGGUAUUUUUCCGGGUAGACGAUUGGGGG